CGUUAGCUCAGUCGGCAGAGCACCUGCCUUUUAAGCAGGGUGUCCCGGGUUCGAAUCCCGG
rnacentral:tRNA from 1 species